rnacentral:tRNA from 1 species
GGAGAAGUACUCAAGCGGAUUAAGAGAACUGUCUUGAAAACAGUAAGGUGAUAGUGAUAUCAUGCGUGGGUUCGAAUCCUACCUUCUCCG